rnacentral:lncRNA from 1 species
UGUAUAUCUGCCUCUAUCUCAUUCGUUGCAAGAUGGUUCAAGUUCUUGUAAAGUUUCCUUUAACUUGCAUUCAGCCUAAUUUGAAUAUACUCAAAAAUAAUUCAAGAUCAGGACCUCUUCAUCAUGCGUAUCGUGUCCAAAAAACUUGGCAAACAAGAUGCAGUAAUCAAUCUGCAGAGCUGACGAUCGACCGCCGGACAGCUAAUUACCAGCCGAGUUCUUGGAGUCAUAUUCUCUUCGAGCCGACUAGUGAGACAGAUAAUGAGGUAUAUUAUGUUCUCAGUUAAUCCAUUUAGGAAAUUUUAUUUAGGAGUUUGAUGUGAAAUAAGUGAGGAAGUAACUCCGUCUAAAACACAAUGCUAAUAAUAGUAAUGGUAGGGUAAUAGAAAUUAAGGCAAGAUCUGUCUGCUUGUUUUGAGUCCUCCUGUUGCGGCGGAAAAAUAUGCUCUUCUUAGCAACCUUGUUCUUCUUAUGGUCCACCUUUAACUAACGUGCCCUCCCUGUCUUGGCUGGUCCAAUUAACAUUUGAUCAACAAAGCAAAACCCUGUUUAACAUCAAGUUGUACCUCAUUACUACCUCUUGUUAAUUACUGGAAGGUAUUAUUGACUUUUGACAACGCUUCCAUAAUUAUAUCCUCUUGCUUAAGUAUCUCCGCAUGUGAGUAUAGCCCUUCCUAGCUCAUGCUAGCCCUAACCCCAACAUAUACUCCCACUUUUCCCUCUCACCUAAUCUUGGGUUAACGUCAUGAAAUUUUCGGGCUAAACAUUGGCAGCUAAUUUGGACAUUUAACAUGUUGUGGGUAGGUAGAAAUUUGUAGCCAGACUCUGUUGCGUAACACAUUGUUUUGUUAUUCUUUUGUAUCCAAUAUAUGUUUUUGUAUUCUUUUGUAGUGGGAAAAUCAGACAAAGAUUUUAAAUAAGUUGGAGAACGAAGUUGGCAGCAUGCUUGAUUGUGAAGACCUGGAGCCACAGGCUCUGAUUGAACUGAUUAAUGACAUCGACCAGCUUGGCCUCUCUUACCGAUACAGGCAAAAAAUUAAAACUGCCCUUAAAAAGCUUCGAGAUUUGGAGGAUGCAACUGGAGAAAAAAUUAAGAGCAGUCUUCAUACUUCAGCUCUCUAUUUCAGGUUGCUUAGGCAACAUGGAUUUGAGGUUUCCCCAGGUAACACAUUCCCUUUGCAACAAACUCUCUAAUUUUUGGAUGCAAAAGAGUACUGCUAUGGAUAGCUGUGAAUCUUUCCUGUCAUUGCAACAACAUCCCUUUGAUUCAGUCAUGUCUCUAGAUUACUUAACUACUUUGUCAAAAUGGUGGCGAAGGAUUUUGCUUGGAUACCACAAAUCGAGAAUUUUAACUUUAUUUUCUGGUUAACAGCUUUAUACCCUAAAUAUAAGAAAAUUCUAUAAUCUCCUUAAGGUAUCAUACUGUUGUAUUAAUUUAAGUACAAUGCUGAUUUAAUAUUUUUGUUGAUGUAAUGAGGAGGAUCGAGGCGAACAAUACCUCACAUGAGUCGGGAAACAAUACCUCGUACAAAUUCUGGCAUCAACAAUUUUCAUUUGAUCGAUUGCUAGUGAUCAACCGUCUAAGGGAUAGUUGUGUACGUUUAUGGCAUCAGUGAAGGAUAAAGAUGCAUAAAUGGAGUCAAGUCAUUUUUAUCCCUUAAGUACCUUUAUAUGAAACCUUUUUUGGCGUGCUUAUGGAGGCUAAUUACUUUAUCACUCCAAUUUAAGGUCUUUUUCUUAAAAAGGAAAACCUUAAAAAAAUAAAACAGAGCCUUCAUGUUUCAGCUCUCUAUUUCAGGUUGCUUAGGCAACAUGGUUGUGAAAUUUCGCAGGUAAUAGUCUUUAGUAACUUUGUGAGAUGCAGAUAUCUUUGAGAGAUUUAAGGACCAAAAUGGCAACUUUAAUGAAAACCUUGCCGGGGAAAUUCGAGGAAUGUUGAGCUUGUUUGAAGCUUCACAUCUUGCAUAUGAAGGAGAAAAUAUACUAAACGAGGCCAAACCAUGCGCAAGUCUACAUCUCAAAGAUUCCAAAGAGUUCGUUGGUUCAAACAUGUCAGAACAAAUAACUCAUGCUUUGGAGCUUCCAUAUCACCAUAGAAUGCGAAGGCUGGAGGCUAGGUGGCGUAUUGAAGCAUAUGCUAAGAGAAGUGCCAAAAAUCAAGUGCUGCUUGAAUUAGCCAAGCUAGAUUUCAACUUGGUUCAGUCUCAGCUUCAAAGUGAAGUUCAAGAAGUAUCGAGGUAAGAUCAAGCAGGAAACACUUGCAUUUCAUUGUCUGGAUUUUUCUUUUAAAAUAAGUGAUAGGAUUAUUGCGCCCCCAAAAAAAAAAAAAAGUAUCAGGAGUCUUGUUGACCUUUGGAACUGUCAAUGCCAAAAGCAUAAUUAAGCAAACUCGCUUUACAGGGUUCUCUUGGGGAUUAGGGGACUCACCAGCCCAUUUUGAGUUCAUUUCACGGCAAAAUAGUCAUUCCAACAUUUUUUACUUCCUACUCUAACUAGGUUACAUGCUAUAAUUUAUCUAUAUCCUACUCCAACUUGUUUACACCUCAAAUUUAUUUGAAAUCAAACUUGUGAGGCGCCAUUUAAUUUCCAACAAAUAUUUGCAUUGCUUUUCUUGUAUUAUCAUAAAUUGUCAGACACAUCACUUCUUCUACAUCACAGUUGAUCUGGCCUCCAAUGAUUAAAAUUGGACAAGUAGAUGGAUCCAAAGUCUCUCCAGUUGAGUUCCAUUCAGUUGGUGUAAUGCUUACUGUAUUGAGUGCAAACUCUUACAACUUUGACGUAAUCGUAAAAUUCGUUAACUCAUACAACUAAAUAUUGUUGAAUUCACUAUAACAUCAACUAGAUCAAACUGGACAAAACUCAAAUAAGAGAGGCCUCGUAUCUCCCUGCAGACCUAAUCUACCUAAAUACUUUCUUUCGGAUGCUAACUAUUCCAAUUUUGAAGUCUGGAAGUUUUUCUUGGCAGAAUUGCAUUUCAGCAACAUAGGCAGAUUACCAUAUAACGGAUUUGCUUUCGGUCAUUCUUAGGUGGUGGAAAGUUGUAGGGUUAGCAGACAAGUUGGACUUUGCAAGAGACAGGCUAAUGGAAAGCUUCUUUUGGUCUGUUGGAAUGGCAUUUGAGCCUCGAUUUAGUAAAUGCCGAAUGGCAGUAACCAAAGCAUUUACGCUGAUCACUGUCCUCGAUGACAUUUAUGAUAUUUAUGGUUCGCUUGAUGAACUCGAGCAAUUUACAGAUGCCAUUGUGAGGUACGUAAUUAAAUACUAGAUAUUUUGCUAUGACGAUUUUCUUUUGUUUUCAUUUUUAUUUUCCAUUUUAUGAUUAUCAAACUAUAUGUUUUGCUUCAGAUGGGAUCUUGAUGCUAUGAAAGAUCUUCCUGAAUAUAUGAAACUAUGCUUCCUUGCUCUUUACAACACUAUAAGCGACUUGGCUUAUGACACUCUUAAGGACAAAGGAGAGAUCAUCAUUCCUCAACUGAAAAAAGCAGUAAGUAAUUGAUUAAUAUAAUCAGCCAUUCCUCGUUCCACUCCAACAUAAUUACUAUUUUUCUCAUUAACUUAAUACUGCUAUUAAACAUUUGCUCAAUUAUUAGUUUGAUCUCUGAUGUAAUUAAGUCUAACUUUCGUUCAUAUAUUAUUUUUCAGUGGGCAGAUUUAUGCAAAGCAUUUUUACAAGAAGCUCAAUGGUUUUACAAGAAAGCCACCCCAAACUUUGAUGAGUACAUCGAAAAUGGAUGGAUUUCAGUGUCUGGAGCUGUGCAACUAAUUCAUGCUUACUUUCUGGUCACAGAAAAUAUCUCAAAGGAGGCCAUAGAGUGCUUGGACUAUCAUCAUGAUUUCUUGCAUUGGCCGUGCAUAAUUUUUCGUCUUACCAACGAUUUGAGUUCCUCGACGGUACGUGUACUCAUGCACCAAUCCCAUUUUAAUCUACAUUUUGACAUGUUUAGCUGUUGAUUUCAGUUGAAUCUCAACAAAAGUGUUAUUUGGAGUAUACUACAAAUGCAAUCGUACAUUGAUAGUGUAUAUGCUGUCAAUUUUAAAUAAAUGACAAUUGUGUAAAAUUUAAAUUUGAAAUUCAAAUUUUGCACGUCUGUUUUGGAUCUAUCAAUGAUAAUAUAUAUGCAUUAUCAAUUUAUAGAAAAUUUACUCUAAUUUAAAUCUUGAGAAUCCCCUUUUUCAACCAAUAGUUUACUUUUGUUUUGUCAAUUUUUGAAGAGAAAAAUAGUUGAGUCGUUACAAAAUUUUAUCAAAAGAAAAAGAGCAUUAUCAACUGUACUUCAUCUCCGUUCUAAGUUUUACAAGAAAUGCACAAAUUAAGAAAGUGGAGCGCCAUUAGUAAAAAGCAGAAUGCCAAUAACAUUAGUUUAAAAAAAAAAAAGCCACAACAUGAAAGGUAACAAUCUCCGAAAGCGUGACGACUUUCACGGAAUGCACAUUUUGCUUGUUUCUGUUCUGCUGUUUAUUGUAAAACAUUACUGUGCCAUUUUCGUAGGCUGAGAUAGAGAGGGGUGAAACUACCAAUGCAAUUACAUGUUUCAUGCAUGAAACUGGCCUGUCUGAGGAGUUUGCCCGACAACAUAUAAGCAAGAUGAUUGAGGAAUGCUGGAUGAAGAUGAACAAACAAUUGUUGUCUCCAUCACCAUAUAAGGAAAAUUUCAUUCAAGUUGCUAUGGAUCUUGCUCGAACUGCUCUCUGUCAAUAUCAGCAUGGAGAUGCUCAUAGUGCACCGGAUGUUAAAGCCAAAAACCGCAUCAUGUCAGUUUUGCUCGAUCCUAUCCGGUUGAGGGAGACCGAAGAUAAUGCCACUAAGUACGGGGACAACACUAGGGGCCAUUUUCUGACUUGUUCUUAGGUGUCUCUGAACACCUGAGACCACCCAACUAUAAGCAUUUGUUCUUAGGCCAAACAUUUCUCAUGUUUACUAAUGUUACAAAUAUUUACUUUUCCAAUAUUUCAAAGCAUUUGUUCUUCGGUGUUUCUGAAAAUCUGAGACCAACCAUAUAAGCAUGUUCCAUGGGUGUGUACGUUUUUUUGUGUGUGUGUGUGUGUGUGCUUCGAUUCAGGAUUCUGAAAACAAAUGCAAGGCAAGAUUUGUCUGCUUGUUUUGAGUCCUUCUGUUGGCAGGGAAAAUAUGCUCUUUUUAGCAACCGUGUUCUUAAUUACUGGAAGGUAUUAUCGACUUUUGACAACGCUUCCAUAAUUAUAUCCUCUUGCUUAAGUAUCUCAGCAUGUGACUCAACUUAGCAAGUCAAAGGUCUAAUCAAAAUUAAUCUUCUUUGUAUAGCUCAUGCUAGCCCUAACCCCAGCAUAAACUCCCACUUUUCCCUCUCACCUAAUCUUGGGUUAAGGUUAUGAAAUUUUCGGGCUAAACAUUGGCAGCUAAUUUGGAAGUUUACACUGGAAAGAAAGGAAGAGAAACCUUUACUUACGAGAAAAGAAGAGAUUUUAAUACUGUUUAAUAGUUUAAGAAAGAAAUAUCUAGAUUGACUUUAGACAUAUAUGUACAUGUAAUUUUCUUUAAUAGCCAUUUGAGGACAAAAUUAACACCUUGAAAAAAAAUUCAUCAAGCUUCCUCCAAAUUUCCUUUGUUUUCGGCCCAUUAAGCUUUUUAUUACUGUAGCGCAAAAAAGAUCAGCCCAUUCCUCUUAUUUUCCGGCUUGAAAAAACAUCCAAACAGUUGUGAGUUCAAGCUUUACCUCUCUCUCUCUCUCUCUCUCUCUCUCUCUCUCUCUCUCUCUCUCUCUCUCUUCUUUUCUCAUCCAAUCGCCCCCUCCCCGGCUGCAAAAGCGUGCAACGAAAGAACAGCCCAAACUAUCCCUUGCAAUGAAAAUGAUUGAAGUUGGACAAAUUCAUUGUCCAAGGAGCCACCGACCAAUUAUUCUUCGAGUUGGAAAUUUUUACCAGCUUUGUGUCAAGUCUAAAUGCGUUACACAUCCUUUUAGUUUUUAAGCAUGCAUAUCAUCAAAGCAUCCAAGCUCGGGACUGUUGAAGAAGCGGCUUUAGCAGGAAAAUAAGCUACAGAGUAGGGGAAUUCAACAAGGAAUUUGGUUGAAGAAGCAAGAUUUGAUACCAAGAGAAUUGACAACAAUAGGUAUGAGCAUCGUCAACUUUGAUUAUCAUCCCUAUCAGUCAAUACCAGACAAUUGGUGCGUGUAUCAAAUUCAUUUGACAAAAUACUAUUAACUGCUUUGCAUUUAAGUUUCCAUGGCAGCUUUAUGAGAGGAAGGGCAAAAAAAUCUCGACGGCUCCUAAACUAUUGGUUGGGUCGAGUUUUGGCCAUCAAACAAUUUUUCAUAACAAAUUGAUCAAUAAACUAAUUAAUCAGUACACUUAUGACCAUUGCAUCGAUUAAUGUUCUUAAUCUAUGAAAUAAGUAUAACAAGUAGCAUAGUUUUGCUCUUAAUCACGUAAGUGGUGGACCAAACUGCCCCCACACUUUGCCACACGUUCUACUUAUUUCAUAGAUUAAGAGCAUAAUUGAUUCAAUGGUUACGAGUGCAUUGACUAGUUAAUUUAGUGGCCAAUUUGUGACGAAAAAUUAUUUAAUGGUCAAAACUUGAUCCGACCAAUAGUUUAGUGGCCGUUCAGAUUUUUUGGCCCGAGAGGAACUAUUGAACUCAACAUGAAUGUGUUUUAAAUGUGACAACAAUUUUGAGAGGAAGGAGUACGAAUGCAAGAUUCAAGAAAAAAGCUGUGCGUUGGACAUUUCACAUUUUGUGGGUGGCAAGGUAGAUAUUUGUAGCCGGACUCUGUUGUGUAACACAUUGUGUGGCGGGCUCCUCUCCCACCUCUAGUGUUUCAAUAUUUUCAACGAUGGACGGUGGGUGCACUGGUCCCCAUUAGCGCACAAAACAAAAAAGAAAAAAGGUUACAUGACGUGCUAAUUUUACAAAAAUGGAUGUCCCUAAGUAAUUUGCAAUGUGCCACCACUGGCCAAAUGAAAAAGUUUUGUUUUAGGUAGUAGAAUUUAGAAAAACUUUAGUUUCCACCCUAAAGAUUAGUACAAAUUGGCCAAUUUUCAUAGGUGCUUACAUAUAAGUAACGAUCCUGAUCCUCUUUAUAGAAUUUGGCCGGAGAGAACUCUUGCUUUUUGGAUGUUCUAUGCUUGGAGUAUACCAUUGCUUCCAUUUUACUUGGAGUUGUUGAUUACAUGCAUUUACAGCUUGAGAUAAAUGAAAAUUUGAGAGCAAUAUUGAAUGGCUGCUCGUACUUGCAUGGCACAGAUAGCUUGUUCGUCCCUACGAAUGGACUGUUUGUUUUCAACUCCAAAUUAUGUAUACAUGUAACAUUUGCAAAUUCCAAAUCUAUUAAUAGUUUGUUACUGAGUACUAUGAACCAAUCAAUCCAUCAAUAUUUCUUUUAAUACAUUUUGACAACUAUAGAUUACCCUUCAGUAAAAAUUUAUCCAGACAUCCUCACGAGACUGCAAAUUAAACUAGUGUUACAUAUAUACAAGUAUUUUCCUGAUAGAGAGCUAAUUAUUCCCUCUUAAUUUUAGCCAAAUAUUGUAUUAAUUGAUAGAUUCUGUUUGUACUUUAUGUUUGGUGCUGUUUACAGGAAUUUGAGAUCAAAACGGAGCUUAAAAGAAAAAUUUUGACUUUCCUUUGUGUGGUACGGGUACGUCUCAUUCAGCAGUCAAGCCUGGAUAUUGUGGGAUGUGAAGUGGAUCCCGUGUGAAACUCUUGCUGUUUAAUUGAAAACGAAUUUGAUGUCCUCAUUGGGCUAGUUGCGGUUGACGUCUCUGUUGUUUGCUCUUUUUUAGUUUGAUACCUUUUCUCCUCUUUCUCCUAACCAAGCCUAAUUUUUUGACUGCAUUUUGACCACCAUGAAGAGUGGCUAAAGUUUUUUUUAAAUUGAAGGAUAAUCAAAAUUUUGAUUCUACAACAAUUAUGAUAUCUGAUGUGAUUUUAGUGUUUCAUCUAUGUAUGGGUAUUUAUAUAUUUCUUCCACUUUCUCAAGAUGAUUGUUUUUCAUGAUUAAAUAACUAGCCAUUAUUUAACUAUUGAAAUUGUCUAUCGCCGUUUGAAAUGUCAAAUCCAUAAUUAUUUGAUUGUUUUGGUAUUUGUGCCAAGUAAUGUAAUUUGAUUCCAUAAGAAGCUUUUAAAUAUAUAUCACGGGAAUAUAUAAUGUAAUUUAAAUAAGCCGUUGAUUAGAAUUGGUGACCUUUUUAAUAAUUAAUACUAUUAAAAGAUUAAAUUCUAUAAUCUUAUAUUGGGUUCUUCUUUAAUUAGAGAAGCAAUUAAUGGUCGUACUUUAGUUACUGACAAAGUAAAGAGUGGCAGGUUGACAAAGGAAGGAGAGGCAAGAUGUUAAAACUUAUUGACAACCAUAAACAAUUUAUUCAUGAAUAGGUGAUUUUCAUAAGCAAUUUAUUCAUAUAGGUGAUUUUUAUCCUUGCAUCGAUAAUUAAUUAAGUGAUCCACAGUUGACCUUUGACUAGAAGUUGUCUCUUAUUGAUUUAGUUUUAUUUAAUUUUGCCUUGCUAUUCUAUUAAUUGAAUUAUUUUAGUUUAAUUCCUUAAAAGCCCCUUUUUAUUUAUUAUUUUCAUAAACAAAUAAAUUAUCUAGUCUUAUAAAUACGACCCUACUCACCACUACAUUCCAAUUUAUAUUUUUAUAGUAUAAAUUUAUAUUUUUAUUAGAUUCAACACCCAUCACUUCCGAAGGUUGCAUGCAUCUUUAUUAAGUUUGAAUUAAUUUUUUAUACACUGACAGUGCAUACAUUUUCACCAUCGGAUACAUGACAUACAAUUCAAAGAGUAAAUUUUAUAUACACUGACAGUGUAUACAUGAUUAUCGUUGGAUUCAUAACAUGUGUGCAAAAUUUGAAUUUCAAUUCAACUUUUGCAUAGCUGUUAUUUAUCCAAAACUGAUAGUGUAGGAAAAAUUAAUCCUAAUUUAAAUUUAAAUUUGAAACCCAAAUUUUAUAUACAUAUUAUGUAUCCAAUUUUAACAGUGCAUGUACUUAAAUGUAUAUAAGAUUUACUGAUUUAGUUCUUGUUUAUUUGUACGUAAGCGCCUUUCGUGUGGUGGCACAUGGAUGUGUCCAUUUGUGCAUUUGCCGUUCCCCAAUGAAAGAGACUUCCACGCUCAAGGCCAAAAUGGCCUUCCUCACUGCCCCACCAAACAGUACACAGUACCAGGUAAACAUAAUACUGGAAAAGUCACCGACAAAAUUCACCAAACAGUACAACUGUUUAUUCGUACGCGAGCACCUUUCAUGUGGUGUAUUGGUGUAAAAGGCCUCGAUUGAAACCUAAGUUUUUUUGUAAGUUUGUAUCGGUGUAAAAAAAAAUUUUUCAAAAUUUUUAAAUCAUACAUUUCGAAAUAUUCAAAAAUUUACAUAUUUCAAAAAAUUUUUAAAAAACUUCUACAAUACGUUACAAUAAAAUUUUAAACAAACUUCUAAAAAUUUACUUUUCAAGUGGGCUUGACACGUCAAAGUUUUGAUGUGUCUGUUUGUAUUUGCAGUUCCCCGAUAAAAGAAAUUCACCGGCUCAAGGCCAAAAUACUGGGCCUUCCUGACUGCCCCAGCAAAUAGUACACAGUACCAGGUAAGCAUAAUACUGGAAAAUUCACUUGAUGAAAAGUACUCCGUAAACCUCUACAGUACUAAAAAAUUACUAAUAGGGUUUCUAGCAAGUGCUAUCUGAACACUCGUUAACACAUCUAUAUCUCACCCAAGUUAUCGUAUAUAUAUACACACACUAACAAUUUUUACUUUCUCUCGCAUUCAUGCACUUUUUCUAAUUAAUCCCUUACAUUUGUACAUUUUUUUUAAAUUAAUCUUUUAUUUCUAAACAUCUAACACCUGAAAUAAAUCUUAAUGAGUGGCCACCCGUUAGACAAAUUGAAUCAAAUAUAACACUUGUAGACCAACAUAUGUGUAUGUUUCAAUUUCCAGACCUGCUAAUUAAUUGCUUCAAACUCCGAUAUUAAUGGUGAUAUCUGUCAAGAUAGGCCUGAGGAAUCCAGAUCUGACAACCAAGUAAUCCAAAAUACUUACAUCUAAUAAUAAAAUGUAGUAAAAACUUGCAAAAAACUCCUAAAAAUUUUUAGGAGAGAAGAAAACUCUUAUUGCAAAACCUAUGAGAGGAGAAAAUUCUCAUUAGGAACCCCUAGAUUAGAGACUUCAAGUACAACAAGGGUAAGUUUAAUUAAGUGUUUGCCUUGGAAAAUAAGAGGGAAUCACAUGCUUAAUUCCAGAUAGAGAUUAAUGAGCAUCCGAUGCGUGUGUACUAGAUAAAAAGUACAUUUUUAGAAAUAUUUUUCACAAAAAUUGAUUUUACAUUUUCACUAAAUAUAAUUUAAUAAAAUAUGUUUGUGCAACGGUGUGAGUUGAUGGUAAUAAAACUAUUGCCUUGAAAAAACGAAGUUUCUAUUUAUCGUACUUGCAAUAAUUGAGGACAUAGAGUUCGGUACUGGGCUUGCUAAGAAGCGGAAGUUGGCCGAAAACAAAUUAGCCCCACAACUAGCUUAAUUGUUUCAUUUCCCUUCUAUUCCUUUUCCUUACCCCACCUAAUAACCUAGUAGCACGUUUUACAUAAGACAAGUUCCUUUCAAACAUGCUAAAAACAACCUCCGGCAGAAUUUGACCAUUGAACUUCAACAAGAAUAGACACAGCUAUGUCUUUGACUAUCAAGCAAUAAUAUUAAAAAAAAAAGAUUCAUCAUAUAAAGAAUACAAGUCAAUUCUCCAAUAUGGAGCAGUGACAGCAGAGUAGAACAAUAUAUAAGAGGCCCUCAUGAAGGUAGUUUUUGCGUCGAACCACAGACUGCAUACUCCUUGUUUGAACUGUAUAUCUGCCUUUAUCUCAUUCGUUGCAAGAUGGUUCAAGUUCUUGUAAAUUUUCCUUUAACUUGCAUUCAGCCUAAUUUGAAUAUACUCAAAACCAAUUCAAGAUCAGGACCUCUUCAUCAUGCGUAUCGUGUCCAAAAAACUUGGCAAACAAGAUGCAGUAAUCAAUCUGCAGAGCUGACGAUCGACCGCCGGACAGCUAAUUACCAGCCGAGUUCUUGGAGUCA